rnacentral:rRNA from 1 species
CCUACGGGUGGCAGCAGUAGGGAAUAUUGCUCAAUGGGGGAAACCCUGAAGCAGCAACGCCGCGUGGAGGAUGAAGGUUUUCGGAUCGUAAACUCCUUUUGUUAGAGAAGAUAAUGACGGUAUCUAACGAAUAAGCACCGGCUAACUCCGGGCCAGCAGCCGCGGUAAUACGGAGGGUGCAAGCGUUACUCGGAAUCACUGGGCGUAAAGAGCGCGUAGGCGGGAUAGCAAGUCAGAUGUGAAAUCCUAGGGCUUAACCAUAGUACUGCAUUUGAAACUGUUAUUCUAGAGUAUGGGAGAGGUAGGUGGAAUUCUUGGUGUAGGGGUAAAAUCCGUAGAGAUCAAGAGGAAUACUCAUUGCGAAGGCGACCUGCUAGAACAUAACUGACGCUGAUGCGCGAAAGCGUGGGGAGCAAACAGGAUUAGAUACCCUUGUAGUC